AGAAGCGAAUCGGGGCCUGGCACCGCCCUCGAGCAGCGAGAGGAGGGCCCGAGGUGCGCCGUCCUCUUUUCCUCCCCUCUGGCUGGAUAAACCCCGGGCGGGUCCGGUGGUUUUCGUUGCUACGACCGCCUCCAGCGGGAUUCAGAGGAGCCCGUCGAGGAGUGCGUGACGCACCCCCUCCCUCCCUUCCUCCGCCCCUCCGCUCUCUUCUCCCGGAGAACAAAAGAAGAAUUCUUUGCACAGAUCACUGAAAGAUGAUUCUUUAUACAUCUAUAAUAAUCACCCAAGCCAUCACUGCAAAGUAAAUAUUCUAACAUUUGGAAUUUUUCAGAACUUUUUAUUAAGGACUUUGUAAAGAGGAGUGUGUGAGUUCUGUUAAAUAAAUACAAAAGACUGAUUACCACUUAAACAAACCCCCUUGUUUUGGAAACUGUAGCCAGGACCAGCCUAUUUUUCCUAUCUCCUCAUUCCCCAUUCUGUGUUCAUGCAAUGAACAGGUGAAACAUGCUAUGCAUUCUCACAUUUUUUUUUUCAAUUGUAAAAGUUUAACAUUUUCCUCUUUUUUUGCCAAGAAUGGAAAAGGGAGGGGACAUUCCUUUGGAAUGUGGCUUCUAUUUCCCAUGGUAGUUGAUUAUCCAAUUCAGCAGAAGCAUGGAGGUGGGGGAAGCACUAGAUCUGUACUAUCCAAGAAGCGGGGGAAGAAGAAACAGCAGCUACAAUCUGAAUCACAGAUGGAAAAUAAAUACCAAAACUGAGGAGCAGAAAAGGGGAGAAAUAUGAUUUCCUCUAAGUUAUGGGGAAGCUUCAGGUAAGAGAAGAAAGACAAUCCACCUGUGGGCUAUGCAACCAAUGAUCCAUGAAUCACAGUUUCUAAUUCUAUCCCAGACAGAGGACCAGGCAAGCUGUGAUGGAGAAUAAUGAUAUAAUGAGGGAUCAGUGGUGAAGAAUGAAAACCACUGCUUAGAAAUUCUUUCAAACUUGGAUGGAGUCCUGGAGGAGAUUUGAUGCACCUGGAAGAUGCCCUUCGAGCACCAGUACUCCCUUCUUUCUAAAUUACAUUGGAAUAAAGGUUCAGUCAUUGUCCACAAAUCUCAAAUCAGCAGACACCUAAUUGACUUGGAUCUUAUCUUGGGAGGGAAACAGUCUGUUAAUGUGAUGCAUGUUUUCCUAGGGGAUAAACAAUAAGAAGUGAGGCUUCACCUUCCAGAUCCUUACCUGUAAAAGUUAUUCAAAAGCUCCCACAUCCAUAAAGCUGCAAAUCCAAGUAUUGUUUUUAUUCAAAGACAUGAAUUAUUCUGCAAAUAUGCCAAUAAAGAAAACCUGCAAACUCA